rnacentral:rRNA from 1 species
CCUACGGGAGGCAGCAGUGAGGAAUAUUGGUCAAUGGGCGGAAGCCUGAACCAGCCAAGUCGCGUGAGGGAUUAAGGCCCUGCGGGUCGUAAACCUCUUUUGCCGGGGAGCAGAGGUCCGGACGUGUCCGGGCCGGGAGAGUACCCGGAGAAAAAGCAUCGGCUAACUCCGUGCCAGCAGCCGCGGUAAUACGGAGGAUGCGAGCGUUAUCCGGAUUUAUUGGGUUUAAAGGGUGCGUAGGCGGGCAUUUAAGCCGGCGGUCAAAUGUCGGGGCUCAACCCCGGCCUGCCGUCGGAAUUGGGUGCCUUGAGUGGGCGAGAGGUAUGCGGAAUGCGUGGUGUAGCGGUGAAAUGCAGAGAUAUCACGCGGAAACCCGAUUGCGAAGGCAGCAUACCGGCGCCCUACUGACGCUGAGGCACGAAAGUGCGGGUAUCGAACAGGAUUAGAUACCCUGGUAGUC